rnacentral:rRNA from 1 species
CCCAUGAUGCUCGUAUUCGAAUUUUGGGUUUCCUGAACCGCCACGAAAUCUAGGUGGAUCUCCUCGGACAAGAUCUUGGCUAUUGGGGGCAAUUUGGAGUGGAAGGGAACGGGGAGGGCGGAUAUAUGGCGGCAGCAGUCGUAUGGGACACUUCCUUGUUGUCAUUCGUUUUAACCAUGUCGGAUUUUGCGGUCCAGCUCCACAUCGUGUACUCUUCCUUUCUUUACCCGAUGUAAAGGAAAAAUUCCUUUGUGCUUAACACAAAACUUUUUUGGUGUACUUCCUCCUAAAUCGUCAUUCAUUCUUUUUCUCUCAGAACGACUUGGGCCGGGACUUCGCGCGUGUGUGGCGGGCAGUGAGAGGGGUUCGGUGAUUUGUUGGUAGAAAUUAUUUGUUCUAUCCGUUUCCCCUCCGUUCAGCAUUGUACCAUUCACAUGGCCU